ACCUGCUGCAGAUGGGGCAGGUGUGGAGGUCUUUCAUUUUUCUCCACAGGAAUCCAAAGGGGAGAAGACUUCGAAUAACAUAAAUGCAGGGGCAGUAAAACCAAGGGGAAAGGGCUAAAGGCAGCUCUGAAUUUUAUUCUAGGAUUCAAUUUUACCAUGGACUUCCAUCUCCAGAAGAUGCAGGGAAAUGAAGGGUAAGCUUGAGAAGUUUUCUUUGGCGUGCGUGCAGAACAGUAGGAUUAGUGUUCAGGCAAGGAAGAGAGAGGGAGACAGGCACCUCCAACAGGGUCCAUGUUCCACAACCCACCCCUUGCUUUAGCCAGGCCCAGCCUGGGUGCCUGUACUCUGUGUGUGUUCAGAGACAUCUCUGGAUGAGAACCUGCAACCUUCCCUUGGUGGCCAGCCUUGCAGAGCAUUACACUGUAGCUGUCCCACCAUCCAGCCCUCUAUUUCCCAGAAAUCUUGAGGUCACUGGUGAAUACUUUUAGUUCUAAG